rfam:Myotis davidii contig245623, whole genome shotgun sequence.
AUCGCUUCUUGACCUUUUGGCUAAGAUCAAGUAUAGUAUCUGUUC